rnacentral:lncRNA from 1 species
GAUAAUGGGAAAAUUUUUAUGCGCUUCGGCGGACAAAGGGUGAGCGAUGAAUUUCGUUCAAGUUAUGUAGUAUUGACCAAUACAGGGUACAAACGGGGCUGAUCACCCUCCGUGCCCGAAAGUUAUGACGGUUUGCGGAUGAAUUUCUGCUAAACCUUUUCGAAAAUAAAAAACCAUGUUCAUAGUAUGUUUCUUAAACCCUAUUCAUGGGUGGAGCCUAAUUUCAAGAAAUUGAAAGAGAAUUGUUAUGUGAAUUUUUAUCAGUACAGAUUACUUCACAACUUUCGAUUCGUUGUAGAAGUGUUGUAGAAAGAGAAUACUUAUAUUCUUUCAGCUUAUAUAUAUAAUUGAUAUUACUUGCUGGGCACUCAAAUGCUCAUCCUUGCUUAAACUAAAUGUUUUCAGUUACGUACGAUCGACCUGAAGGCUCAGGCACGAACAAGGGAAAAGAAAAGCUGUUCGAAUGAGAUUUAGUAUGAGUUAAUGGUUAUAGUUAGUAAGACAAUGGAAUCUAUUGUCAGGUAUUGUAAGGAAUGUAUUUGAAGGUCACGUACCUGGGGAAGUAAACUUUGAUGUAUGUAAAUUAAGUUCGAAUUAUAUUAUUAUUAUUAUUUAGUAUUAUUCAGCUUAAAGAAAUGGUAUCGUGGAGAACCGAGUUCGGGUUUCAAGUAUCCGGAUUUGGGGUCGCCACAGGAAUAAGCAAUCCAUUAGAAGAGUCAAGUAGAGAAUAAAAUCUACUAUCUUCUAUGAUUUAAAAGGGUUUUCAACACUUUUAUCGCUAAGACUCAGCUUAAUAAAUAAUCCACAUCAUCCCUGCACUACGGCCAAGGAUAUUCAUUAUUAUCACGACCAUAAAUUAUCCAUGCACUACGGGCCAAGGAUAUUCAUGUAUUCAUCAAUGGUCAUGAUCAUGCCAACAACUGUCCAUCAAUGCACUACGGGCCAAUGAG